CAGGGACCUAGCUGCUCCCUGCAGACACUGAGCCCACAGCCACAGACAACAAACCCCAGCUCCUCACGCACACGAGAUAGCCCACACCCAGCCUCCUCCACACGGACUCAGGUGUCCACCCGCACAUGAGCACACUUCACCCCUGUCACACACCCACAUGCCUGCACACACUCAGGUCUCGCACUCGAGGACCCAUGGGGUGACCCCACGGGCCCAGACCACAGCUGGGUCUCAUGAGCCCUCCCUAUGAACACCAGCUAGUCCCCACCCUCCAGUGCCCAUGGGCUGCUCAGUGGCCCUUUCCCACACUAACCACACUGACCAGGUCAGACAUUUGUCCCUCACCUCCCCUGGGGCACCCACGCCCCUCCCUAGCAGGCUGAGAUCCCCCCUCAGCCCCUCGUACCGACACCCUCACCCCUCGGGCCCGGUGCUGUCUGCCCUCCCUCCCCAGGGGCAGGGUCCAGGAACGUGUGCUCUGCUGACCCUCCCGGCUCCAGGCCUGGCCCCUAGGGCAGAGGAGGCCAGGAACUGAGUUUCUGUGCUGCGGGGAGGUGGGGUCAGGGCCCCAGCUCAGGGCACAGCUCAGGAUGGGAGCAGGACCCCACAGGCCAGGCCCAGACAGUGGCCAGGGCUGGAGGGGUUGAGGCUGGGGCUGGGCCCCAGAGACUGACCUCAGGUGACCCCUGCCUGGCCCAUGGGGAGAUCACGCGACUUUCCCCCCACCCAGAGGGAGCCCUGCCCCACCACGAUGACCCUGCCCAGCCCCCCGUGGGCAGACACAGCACUGACCACCCCUCCCUGUGCAGACCUGCUGCUGGAGGAGGAGAGCUGUGCGGACGCCCAGGACGGGGAGCUAGACGGGCUCUGGACGACUAUCUCCAUCUUCAUCACACUCUUCCUGCUCAGUGUCUGCUACAGCGCCACUGUGACCCUCUUCAAGGUGAAGUGGAUCCUCUCAUCCGUGGUGGAGCUGAAGCAGUCGAUCACUCCCAACUACAGAAACAUGAUCGGACAGGGCGCCUAGAGCUCCUGCGGGCCACAUCCAGACCACCUCAGACCUGACUGGACCACACCUGUCCAC